ensembl:lncRNA
CGGGACUCCAAACAACACAAGGAGUCUCCAUUUCCUGCCUUGGACUGUGCUAGUCACAGGGCAAGAAUGAUCGUGGGCCCUCCAGACACUCCACGUGACAAGAAAGUUCCCCACCGAGAAGGCUACCUAGAGUCUGUCAUACAGAGUGAGGUGGAUUCUUUACCAUCUGAGCCACCAAGGGAGUGCUGAAUAUCCAUUGGAAGGUCUGGAGAUGAAGCUCUAAUACUUUGGCCACCUAAUGUGAAGAAUCGACCAUUAGAAGAGACCCUGAUGCUGGGAAUGACUGAGGACAGGAGAGAAAGGAGGUGAUAGAGGAUGAGACGGUUGGAUGCCAUCAUCAACUCAGUGGACAUGAGUUUAAGCAAACUCCCAGGAGAUAGUGAAGGACAAGGAAGCCUGCUAUGCUGCAGUCCAUGGGAUCAUAAAGAGUCAGACAUGACUUAGGGACUGAACAACAACAACAAAUAUAAAUGUUGUAUAAAUACAAUAUAUAUUAACGUAUGUGGAUAUAAUGUUAUAAAAGUAUAAUAAAGUAUAGUACUAUAUAACAUGUUAUAUUGAUAUAAGUAUUGUUGUUAUUUAGUCUCUAAGUCGUGUCUGACACUUUUGCAACCCCGUGAACUGUAGCCCACCAGGCUCCUCUGUCCACGGGAUUUCCC